UUCGUUUUCCUACUUCUAUUGCUUUGGCAAUGGCGGCUCGCGGCGUGGGGAUGUUGGCACGUUUACCCCUCUGUGCUCAGAGAGGUCAAGUCCUACGUCCUACCCACAGGCUUCUCAGUUACCCAGGGCCUGUGGCCGCAGACCUUAAGAGAGAAGAGCAGUCCUCGAGGAACGUGGAGACAGGCUCUGAAGACAAGACUCCCAAAAAGAAAUUCUCUGAGGUGCAGAAAGAAAGACGAGAGCAGGCACAGCGAACUGUUUUAAUACAUUGCCCGAGUAAAAUCAGUGAAAAAAAGUUUCUGAAAUACUUAUCUCAACAUGGACCUAUUAGUAAUCAUUUCUUCUAUGAGAGCUUUGGUCUUUAUGCUGUUGUGGAGUUUUGUCAAAAGGAAAGUGUCACUUCACUACAGAAUGUAACUCGCACUCCGAGUAUGGACACAGAGGCUGCAAUUCCAUUCAAGUCACGUUUCUUCAAUGUAAAGAUGAAGAAUCCAUCAAACCAGACUUCAGAACAGCCCUGCAUACAGUGCAGUAAUCAUACCCCUCCUUCAAGCAAGAAGCUUUCUGAAUUACUUUGUUAUGCAGAAAGUAUAGAUGAUCAGCUGAACACUCUCCUGAAGGAGUUCCAGCUAACGGAGGAGGACAUUAAGCUCAGAUACCUCACCUGUUCUCUCAUUGAAGACCUAGCAGCUGCAUAUUUUCAGGACUGUAUAGUGAGACCCUUUGGCUCCUCCGUGAACAGUUUUGGGAAAUUGGGAUGUGAUUUGGACAUGUUUUUGGAUCUAGGUGAAAUUGGAAAAUUCAACACAAACAAGACCUCUGGAAAUUUUCUGAUGGAAUUUCAAGUGAAGAAUGUUUCUUCAGAAAGGAUUGCAACUCAGAAGAUCCUGUCUGUGAUAGGAGAAUGCCUUGACCACUUUGGCCCUGGCUGUGUGGGUGUACAAAAAAUCUUAAAUGCUCGGUGUCCUCUUGUGAGGUUCUCACACCAGGCCUCUGGAUUUCAGUGUGAUUUGACUACUAAUAAUAGGAUUGCCUUGAAAAGUUCUGAACUCCUUUAUAUUUAUGGUGCUCUCGACUCAAGAGUGAGAGCCUUGGUGUUCUGUAUUCGGUGUUGGGCUCGAGCACAUUCAUUAACAAGUAGUAUUCCUGGUUCGUGGAUUACAAAUUUCUCUCUUACAAUGAUGGUCAUCUUUUUUCUCCAGAGGAGAUCACCCCCUAUUCUUCCAACACUUGACUACCUAAAAACUCUAGCAGGUGCAGAAGAUAAAUGCAUAAUAGAAGGCCACAACUGUACGUUUGUUAGUGACUUGAAUAGAAUUAAACCUUCAGGAAACACAGAAACACUAGAAUCACUACUGAAAGAAUUUUUUGAAUAUUUUGGCAAUUUCGCUUUCAAUAAAAAUUCCAUAAAUAUUCGACAGGGAAGGGAACAAAACAAACCUGAGUCUUCUCCCCUGCAUAUUCAGAAUCCUUUUGAAACUUCUCUCAACAUCAGCAAAAAUGUAAAUCAAAGCCAGCUACAAAAAUUUGUAGAUCUGGCCAGAGAAAGUGCCUGGAUUUUAAGUCAGGAAGAUAAAGAUCGCCCUUCCCCAUCAAGUAAUCGCCCCUGGGGGCUGGCAACGCUGCUGCUUCCUUCGGUGGUAAAUAGUGUUUCUCUUGCCAAGAAGAAAAAGAAGAAGCCUGCAAGUGAAAGAAUUAAAAAUUUACUGGAAUCCAUAAAAAGUAGCAGUCCAGAAAAUGACACAAACACCAAUGGGAAAAGAACAGUUAGCACUCAGGCAUAGUGGCUCCUCCUCCGCUUUAAGAACUGGUUUCCCUCGAGAACAUGCUCUUUGGGGCGCCUGGAAGAAUGCGUGUGAAACUCUCACAGAUGCCCACUGUCAUCCGAUGUCUCUUUUCAUCAUCUUCUCACUGGGUCUCCUCCUCGUCUGAAGUUCUGGGAGUUUUCAGCCUGAUAAGGCUCAGAUCCAUUGGCACCUAGAACGUCAGCUACAAGGAAUGGGUGACAGAGGAUUGGAAUGCACUUUAGAUAAACUAUACAAAGCAAGAGAUAAAAAAUCAGUUUUAGAAUCAAACCAUUAUUGAUACCAACAUUAGGCCCCGGAUGGAAAUCAUUUAAAAGGACUUUGGGGAUCAUAGAGGAGAAGAGAAAAUACAGUCGAAGUAGGACUUCCUGCUGUCAUUACUACGAUCCUCUUCUUCCUUUUGCUCAGGGGCUAUAGUCAGCCUGCUGGUGCCACAGUAGGGAAAAGCUACAUUUGCCUGUGUCUUUUAAGCCAGCACAGGCAACAUCGCAGCAAAGCCAUCAGGAAGAGCAACCAAGCAGUCACAGCUUGCCCAUGUGGCCACUUUGCACUUGCCAGAGUCUGGCAUUCGGUUGGUGAGUAGCUGUCCUCAGUCUCCGUUCAGUCCCUUCGGGAAACCUUGUAGGAGUACAACAUUCACUACCCCUUAGAAACAAAUAAAUCAUUUUUGCCUGAAAUGAUCAGAGAGAAAGCCUAACUGAUGAAUGGCUCAGGUAGAUCUUGAAAGUACAGGUAGACAGAGAAGAGCAUAUGGCUUAUGCUGGGAAAUAGCAGGACAGCCCGAAAAAGAGUCAGGAAGAAGGAAGAGUGUUCGGAGAACUGGCAGUUUGGGUGGGUUGGAAUGCAGUUGUAAAAAGAGUUAAGGUUGGGUGAGAUCAUGAAGGACUGCCAAUGGCAAUUUAAGGAAGUUGAGUGUGUUUUCAAUGGUAAGCUACUGAAGGUUUUUGUGUAAAAAUAAUAAAAAUUAAGGCAGUGCUUUUAGAUGAUUCAUCUAUUCAUACCAAGUAGUUUUAGAGCACUGCUGCUUUGUUUGCAAGUUUCAGUUUCAGUUCCAUGGAUCUCAUCAUUAAGUCAGAUAAAAUUUGGCUGUUCAGUUUUCCGUGAAGGUCCAGAAGCUGACCCCAUAUACCUCAGAAGAGUUUUUCUUCUUAAUAUUUAAUAAGGAAGUAAGGUUUAAGUUAGUUUUUAAAGUUAUCAGGAAAUAUCAGGUCGUGACACACAAUUUCAUGUAAAGCCUUAUUAAUGAAAAAUUCUUUGCAAUAUAUACUUGGAAUGAAAGUAUAACCAAAAAUCACUUUUCACCUCGGGAUGAUGUUGGAAAAUUUAUUUUAAAUACUUGAAAGGCUUAUUUUGGUUUCAUGCAGAGUUAAGUUACUUGGGAUACAUAUUCCAAAGAAUAUAAACAUUACAACGUUCCUCUGGAAUUCCCAUGGAACAACUCCCAGAAAAUGUCUAUUUUAUAUAGGAUCUUUAAUCUGUAAUAUGUAUCAUACAGGAUGUGUAAAAUCACCACAAGUUAUUUAAAAAUAUACUGUUCAUAUGUUAUCUGUGGUAUGUGUAUCCCACCCACCUGUAAGAACUCAGUGGAGUCAAAGCUAGAUUAAAGGCAUUAUUCACUUUCUCUGUCCAAUCUUAGAUAAAUGCACUUAAACUUAUCCUCCCCCUGUGGUAAAGUUUCAAAGCUGUUAGCACAUAGAGCUAAAGCAUUUUAAAAGAGGGUAUUGGAAAGAUUCACCUUUAAUAAUAAAUGUUCUACUUUGAAGCCAGGAUAGUAUGAUAGUAUGGCAAAAUACCUAAUUUGGAAUAGGCCAAGGCAAAAUUAACAAAAAAUAUAGGUUACAGAUUGAAAACCUACUGUGAUGGAAUGCUGUCAAAUAAAAUCGCUUCAAAUGAAUGACAAGAUGACAAAUCAGGUCUCUAUUAUGCUUUGGUUUACCAAAAUUCUUUAACUUGCUAAAUUGUUAGGUAUGGUGAAAGUCUUACAUUUUUGAAACUUUUCCUGUUACAAAAUUACUGGUAUUUGGCUUAAAUUAGUGCGUUUUAAUGAUUAGGGUUUUAAUGAAUCUUUGCCGAGUUUACACAUGGACUUAGAGAGUUGUGUAAAAUAACACACUGAUGUGUUCUCUGCGCGAAAAAUUAAUAGUAAAAGAUGGAUUAUGAAGCUGACGGGUGUUGUGAGAUGGAAUUUGAAACUCAAAGCCUGUGUUUUUUUGUUUUUUUAUUCCAUCUAAAAUGUGUAUUGUAGGAUGCCUGGGUGGCUCAGUUGGAUAAGCAAACGCCUUUGGCUCAGUCAUGAUCCUAGAGUCCUGGGAUCGAGUCCCACAUUUGGCUCCCUGCUCAGCAGAGAGUCUCUGUUUCCCUCUGACCUUUCAUUCUGUCUCUCUCCCAUUCUCUCUCUC